rfam:Neocallimastix californiae strain G1 LY90scaffold_1418, whole genome shotgun sequence.
GCUCGCGUAGCCUAAUCGGAUAGGGCGUCAGACUUCUAAUCUGAAGAUUGCGGGUUCAAGUCCCGCCGUGAGUG